AAUUCAGUCUGUUUGCAGUUUCAUAUUUUAGAUUUUGUGACCUAGUUUUUGGAGUUACUUUUGUUUUUGCUUUUGUAUUUUGCAGCCUAGAAGACUUCAUUCAAAUGUCCAGGAUUGGGGAAUUCAGGAAACGUCUUCAGUUUCUCUUUGCUUUCCUUGGUAAAAAUCAUAUCAGUGCAUGCUUGAAAAUUAAUUGCAGUUCUUACCAAUGCAAGUAACUUUCACUUAUUGGAGAGAGAUCGUAGUAGUUAGUUCAAAUCUUCUACUAACAAAAACACUAAUAACUAACGACAACAUGGACAAGGAGGAGGAGGACAUUGCCCACAAAACACUAACGUCAGCCAUGGUGGCGGAUUCCAGCGAGCUGACGCAGCGGAAGUUGCCAGAGGAGGAGGAAGGUGGGAACACAGAAAUUAGUCAAACUCCAAUGCCUGUCAUGCAAGUUCAACCACCUGCUUCAAAUAAACUGAAUGAAAAGGAUGAAAAAAGGGAGUUGCUCCUCGAGUCAAUUAGGAAAGCCAUGGAAGGGUUGACAAUAGUUGGAACUGCAAUGAUGGUGUUUCUAUAGAGAUGAAUAGAGAUGGCCAAGACUGUGUUUCUAUAGUCACUGAGAAUGACAUAGAGAUGGCCAAGACUGAAGAAGCACGGAGAAAAAAAAAAUGAAAAAACCAUGAAAGACUCAUACGCUAUGAAACAUCGACACCGAUACGGACACCGGAUA